AUUAUAAGUAUCCUCCAAGAUGGCGUAUGGAUAGAACGUUCUGGUGAUAGGGAAUAGUGCUCCUGGAAGAUUUAAACGUCGUCUGGAGUGCCAUUUUAUUGUGAUUGUUUUAUUCUUUGUUCAGUUUCAUCAAUCAAUACGUUCUACAUCUAUUAUUUUUCACCAAGAUGGCAGAUUUGGAUCCGUAGGUACGUUCUCAUAGAGUUGAAAGUUGUACUAUAAUAACAGUGAUGGCUUGGAUGCUGAUUUUCUUUUUUAUUUCAUGGGUAUUGUGUAUUAUAUUUAUUCAUUGUGAUUUUCAUAUAUAUGUAUAAACAUGAGUCUUUCAUACGUUAUUCCUGAAGAUCAUAGGUAUCGGAUUACUGAACAUUUAUUGGAAAUACUGCAUGUGUUUGUACAUAGGAUCUUGUUUAUACAUAAAUUAUUCACAUGUGUUUGGAAUAAAUGACUUGAUUAGGCACC
rnacentral:sRNA from 1 species